rnacentral:rRNA from 1 species
GAUGAACGCUGGCGGCGUGCUUAACACAUGCAAGUCGAACGAUGAAGCCCAGCUCUCUGGGUGGUUUAGUGGCGAACGGGUGAGUAACACGCGAGUAACUUGCCCUUCACUCUGGGUUAAGCCUGGUCAACUGGGUCUAGUACCGGACAGGAGCGUCCACCGCAUGGUGGGUGUUGGAAAGAUUUAUCGGUUUUGGAUGGACUCGCGGCCUAUCAGCUUGUUGGUGAGGUAAUGGCUCACCAAGGCGUCGACGGGUAGCCGGCCUGGGAGGGUGACCGGCCACAAUGGGACUGAGGCACGGCCCAGACUCCUACGGGAGGCAGCAGUGGGGAAUAUUGCGCAAUAGGCGCAAGCCUGAUGCAGCGACGCCGCGUGAGGGAUGACGGCCUUCGGGUUAUAAACCUCUUUCAGUGGGGAAGAAGCGAAAGUGACGGUACCUGCAGAGGAAGCACCGGCUAACUACGUG